GAUGAAGAACGCAGUGAAAUGCGAUACGUAAUGUGAAUUGCAAAUUCAGUGAAUCAUCGAGUCUUUGAACGCACAUUGCGCCCCCUGGUAUUCCGGGGGGCAUGCCUGUCCGAGCGUCAUUGCUGCCCUCAAGCACGGCUUGUGUGUUGGGCCCCGUCCUCCGAUCCCGGGGGACGGGCCCGAAAGGCAGCGGCGGCACCGCGUCCGGUCCUCGAGCGUAUGGGGCUUUGUCACCCGCUCUGUAGGCCCGGCCGGCGCUUGCCGAUCGACCCAAAUUUUUAUCCAGGUUGACCUCGGAUCAGGUAGGGAUACCCGCUGAACUUAAGCAUAUCAAUAAGCGGAGGA
rnacentral:misc_RNA from 1 species